AUCUAAGUACCCCGAGGAAAAGAAAUCAACCGAGAUUCCCCCAGUAGCGGCGAGCGAACGGGGAGCAGCCCAGAGUCUGAAUCAGCUUGUGUGUUAGUGGAACGGUCUGGAAAGUCCGACGGUACAGGGUGAUAGUCCCGUACACCAAAAUGCACAGGCUGUGAACUCGAAGAGUAGGGCGGGACACGUGGUAUCCUGUCUGAAUAUGGGGGGACCAUCCUCCAAGGCUAAAUACUCCUGACUGACCGAUAGUGAACCAGUACCGUGAGGGAAAGGCGAAAAGAACCCCGGCGAGGGGAGUGAAAAAGAACCUGAAACCGUGUACGUACAAGCAGUGGGAGCACCUUCGGGUGUGACUGCGUACCUUUUGUAUAAUGGGUCAGCGACUUAUAUUCUGUAGCAAGGUUAACCGUAUAGGGGAGCCGCAGGGAAACCGAGUCUUAACUGGGCGUUAAGUUGCAGGGUAUAGACCCGAAACCCGGUGAUCUAGCCAUGGGCAGGUUGAAGGUUGGGUAACACUAACUGGAGGACCGAACCGACUAAUGUUGAAAAAUUAGCGGAUGACUUGUGGCUGGGGGUGAAAGGCCAAUCAAACCGGGAGAUAGCUGGUUCUCCCCGAAAGCU
rnacentral:rRNA from 2 species